rnacentral:rRNA from 1 species
AUUGAACGCUGGCGGCAGGCCUAACACAUGCAAGUCGAGCGGAGCGGCGGACGGGUGAGUAAUACCUAGGAAUCUGCCUGGUAGUGGGGGAUAACGUCCGGAAACGGGCGCUAAUAUCGCAUACUAUCAGAUUAGCCUAGGUGGGAUUAGGUAGUUGGUGGGGUAAAGGCCUACCAAGGCGACGAUCCGUAACUGGUCCGAGAGGAUGAUCAGUCACACUGGAACGUGGACACGGUCCAGAGGCCUACGGGAGGAAGCAGUGGGGAAUGUUGGGCAACGGGCGAAAGCAUGACCCAGCCAUGCGGCGUGUGUGAAGAAGGUCUUCGGAUUGUAAAGCACUUUAAGUUGGUAUGCGGUACCAACAGAAUAAGCACCGGCUAACUUCGUGCCAGCAGCCGCGGUAAUAC